rnacentral:siRNA from 1 species
AGCUACAGCCAUCACACCUACAAC